rnacentral:misc_RNA from 1 species
AAGUCUUUGUAUGUCCCUGGCAAGUAGUCACCAGGAGGUUGCUGCCAGUAUUGACCAAGUGGUUGAUGGGAAUUUACCCUGGGUAAUUGUAGUUGAAUGGGAUCCUCAUAGAUUGGGAAUUCAUUUGCAACAUGAUUUGGAGGAAAACAAAAGUUGUGCAUAUCUAUAUCACGACAAUAGGGGUUUCUACGGAAUUGCUUAUCUGGAGCUAAAGGUUUCAUUAGAACAUUGUAAGUAACACAAUCGCAGUAAGCACCAAAGUCCCCUUCCCUUUCUUUCUCUGCUGCAGAACCACUUCUGCAGAUUUGUUCCUUUAAAUCAUCCAGCUUCCUAAGCAACUCAACCCGAUUCUGCUCUAAACGUACAAAUCUGUUAGACCCAUCCAGGUCAUCAAAAUUCUU